GCCAGAAUGACCUUCGCAUUAAUCUGACUCUGAUUGUCCAUUCGCAGUUCUUGUUCGCGUUCUUCCAAGAACUGUGCGUGGACGUCAGUGUCCGAUUAGUGGACUUCCGGUCCGCAGCA
rnacentral:precursor_RNA from 10 species